UUAUUAACGCUGAGGUGUGAUGACGAGGCACUACGGUGCUGAAGUAACAAAUGCCCUGCUUCCAGGAAAAGCCUCUAAGCAUCAGGUAACAUCAAAUCGUACCCCAAACCGACACAGGUGGUCAGGUAGAGAAUACCAAGGCGCUUGAGAGAACUCGGGUGAAGGAACUAGGCAAAAUGGUGCCGUAACUUCGGGAGAAGGCACGCUGAUAUGUAGGUGAAGCCCCUGCGGGUGGAGCUGAAAUCAGUCGAAGAUACCAGCUGGCUGCAACUGUUUAUUAAAAACACAGCACUGUGCAAACACGAAAGUGGACGUAUACGGUGUGACGCCUGCCCGGUGCCGGAAGGUUAAUUGAUGGGGUUAGCGGUAACGCGAAGCUCUUGAUCGAAGCCCCGGUAAACGGCGGCCGUAACUAUAACGGUCCUAAGGUAGCGAAAUUCCUUGUCGGGUAAGUUCCGACCUGCACGAAUGGCGUAAUGAUGGCCAGGCUGUCUCCACCCGAGACUCAGUGAAAUUGAACUCGCUGUGAAGAUGCAGUGUACCCGCGGCAAGACGGAAAGACCCCGUGAACCUUUACUAUAGCUUGACACUGAACACUGGUCCUUGAUGUGUAGGAUAGGUGGGAGGCUUUGAAGUGUGGACGCCAGUCUGCAUGGAGCCGUCCUUGAAAUACCACCCUUUAAUGGCUGGUGUUCUAACGUAGACCCGUGAUCCGGGUUGCGGACAGUGUCUGGUGGGUAGUUUGACUGGGGCGGUCUCCUCCCAAAGAGUAACGGAGGAGCACGAAGGUUAGCUAAUCCUGGUCGGACAUCAGGAGGUUAGUGCAAUGGCAUAAGCUAGCUUGACUGCGAGAGUGACGGCUCGAGCAGGUGCGAAAGCAGGUCAUAGUGAUCCGGUGGUUCUGAAUGGAAGGGCCAUCGCUCAACGGAUAAAAGGUACUCCGGGGAUAACAGGCUGAUACCGCCCAAGAGUUCAUAUCGACGGCGGUGUUUGGCACCUCGAUGUCGGCUCAUCACAUCCUGGGGCUGAAGUAGGUCCCAAGGGUAUGGCUGUUCGCCAUUUAAAGUGGUACGCGAGCUGGGUUUAGAACGUCGUGAGACAGUUCGGUCCCUAUCUGCCGUGGGCGCUGGAGAAUUGAGGGGGGCUGCUCCUAGUACGAGAGGACCGGAGUGGACGCAUCACUGGUGUUCGGGUUGUCAUGCCAAUGGCACUGCCCGGUAGCUAAAUGCGGAAAAGAUAAGUGCUGAAAGCAUCUAAGCACGAAACUUGCCCCGAGAUGAGUUCUCCCUGAGACUUUAAGUCUCCUGAAGGAACGUUGAAGACGACGACGUUGAUAGGUCGGGUGUGUAAGCGCAGCGAUGCGUUGAGCUAACCGAUACUAAUGAACCGUGAGGCUUAACCUU
rnacentral:rRNA from 1 species